GCGGGAGUCGGGGCGGCGCGCAGGUUCCCGGCCCCCUAAGGGACGGUUGCCUUCCCCAGAGCCGGGGACACAGGCGUACGUGCGGGGACCUCGGCGCUGGCCUCCGGGCUUCUGGAGCCCCUCCCUGGUGCGGAGCGGGGACGGUGACCUCCUCGUGGAUUCUGGGAGGGGCAGCCUUGGCAUCAGGACCUGGAAGCCGGAGAGGCUGCAGGGCUUCCAGCCAUGGCCUUGCCACCGGAGGGGUGAGAAGCUUCCUGGCAUCGGGCCUGGGCUCCUGAGCCCCUGAGCCAACCGACUGAUGGUCCCUGGGAGACAGCCCCCGCCCUGCUCCUGCCCCCCACACCUGAAAGGCUCAUUGUGUGGGUUUGCUGUGCUCCACAGGGAUGUAAACCGCCCCUCCUUUUCCCUGUUCUGUCUGUGAGAAGGUGCCAGGGAUACUUUUUUUUUUUUUUGAGACCAAGCUUCACUCUUAUUGCCCAGGCUGGAGCGCAAUGGCGCGAUCUCGGCUCACUGCAACCUCCACCUCCCAGGUUCAAGCGAUUCUCCUGCCUCAGCCUCCCGAGUAGCUGGGAUUAUAGGCAUGUGCCACCACACCUGGCUAAUUUUUUUUUUUCAGCAGAGAUGGAGUUUUCUCCAUGUUGGUCAGGCUGGUCUCGAACUCCUGACCUCAGGUGAUCCGCCGGCCUCAGCGUCCCAAAGUUCUGGGAUUGCAGGCGUGAGCCACCGUGCCCAGCCCGUUUUUUUUAAGAGUCGGGGUUUCACUUUAUCGCCCAGACUGGAGUGCAGUGGUGCAAUC
rnacentral:lncRNA from 1 species